AUUACUCCUACGGGAGGCAGCAGUAGGGAAUCUUCGGCAAUGGACGAGAGUCUGACCGAGCAACGCCGCGUGAGUGAAGAAGGUUUUCGGAUCGUAAAACUCUGUUGUUAGAGAAGAAUAAGGAUGAGAGUAAAAAGUUCAUCCCUUGACGGUAUCUAACCAGAAAGCCACGGCUAACUACGUGCCAGCAGCCGCGGUAAUAAU
rnacentral:rRNA from 1 species